AUACGUAGGGGGCGAGCGUUAUCCGGAAUUACUGGGCGUAAAGGGUGCGCAGGCGGCCAUUUAAGUCAGAUGUGAAAGGCUACGGCUUAACCGUAGUUAGCAUUUGAAACUAGAAGGCUUGAGUGCAGUAGAGGAGAGUGGAAUUCCUAGUGUAGCGGUGAAAUGCGUAGAUAUUAGGAGGAACACCAGUGGCGAAGGCGACUCUCUGGACUGCAACUGACGCUGGGGCACGAAAGCGUGGGUAGCGAACAGGAUUAGAUACCCUGGUAGUCCACGCCGUAAACGAUGAGUGCUAGGUGUUGGAGGAGACAUCCUUCAGUGCCGGAGCUAACGCAUUAAGCACUCCGCCUGGGGAGUACGGCCGCAAGGUUGAA
rnacentral:rRNA from 1 species